UAGCUCAGAUGGUAAAGCGUCUGCCUACAAUGCGGGAAACCCGGGUUCGAUUCCUGG
rnacentral:tRNA from 1 species